UCAUAAGCAAGUGUGCAAUUGAGGGCUGA
rnacentral:piRNA from 1 species